AGCAGCCGCGGUAAUUCCAGCUCCAAUAGCGUAUAUUAACGUUGUUGCAGUUAAAAAGCUCGUAGUUGAAGUGUGGGUGAUCGCUGUUGUGAGACUUCGGUCUCUCGACAGUAAGUCACCCCCUUCCAGUAUCCAGUAGUGGGUAUUCACUUACUUACUAUUGUGUGUUGGUCCUUUACUGUGAGAAAAUUAGAGUGUUCAAAGCAGGCGUUUGCUUGAAUAGAAUAGCAUGGAAUAAUAAUUGAAGGCUUUCGUGUUCGAUUUGAUUGGUUUGUUCAUGGAAGCAAGGUUAAAAGGAACAGUUGGGGGUAUUCAUAUUCACUAGUUAGAGGUGAAAUUCUCGGAUUUAUGGAAGAUGAACAAGUGCGA
rnacentral:rRNA from 1 species